rnacentral:lncRNA from 1 species
UGCCCACGCAAAGGGCGAAAAUCUGCUAUAUCCACAAUUUUGAAGAUAAAAGGAAACUAAAAACGGCAUUUCGUAGAGAAGGACACUAUCUGUCAUAUCGCUGAUCAGAUUGGAUCAUUAUUUCCGCCGGAAUGGAGAUUUUAAUUUGCAGUGGCUAUCCCCACCCCGCCCAGUAGCUUUUUUAUUUUUUGCCGCGCGUCAUGCGGCAGCGCCCUUCGGUCGGUUGGGCGGGAUGGCUGAGUUCUGCUGUGAUAGAUCAGUUCACUUGAUAGUUCAGUCAGAGCAAAUCAACGUCUAAACGAGAAGGGACGUGUGAGACGCUUCUUACGCGUCACAACUUUUAUACCCGGCACUCAGGACUACAUCUAGACGUAGAAGACAUCGCCAAGCACUAGAUAUCUUUCACAUUACAGAACACGUAAUGCCUACUAAAUAAAAU